AGCUAGUUGGUGAGGUAAUGGCUCACCAAGGCAAUGACACCUAACUGGUUUGAGAGGAUGAUCAGUCACACUGGAACUGAGACACGGUCCAGACUCCUACGGGAGGCAGCAGUGGGGAAUAUUGCACAAUGGACGAAAGUCUGAUGCAGCAACGCCGCGUGGAGGAUGACACAUUUCGGUGCGUAAACUCCUUUUAUAUAGGAAGAUAAUGACGGUACUAUAUGAAUAAGCACCGGCUAACUCCGUGCCAGCAGCCGCGGUAAUACGGAGGGUGCAAGCGUUACUCGGAAUUACUGGGCGUAAAGAGCGUGUAGGCGGGUAAAUAAGUUGGAAGUGAAAUCCUAUGGCUCAACCAUAGAACUGCUACCAAAACUGUUAACCUAGAAUGUGGGAGAGGUAGAUGGAAUUUCUGGUGUAGGGGUAAAAUCCGUAGAUAUCAGAAGGAAUACCGAUUGCGAAGGCGAUCUACUGGAACACUAUUGACGCUGAGACGCGAAAGCGUGGGGAGCAAACAGGAUUAGAUACCCUGGUAGUCCACGCCCUAAACGAUGUACACUAGUUGUUGUGAGGCUAGACCUUGCAGUAAUGCAGUUAACACAUUAAGUGUACCGCCUGGGGAGUACGGUCGCAAGAUUAAAACUCAAAGGAAUAGACGGGGACCCGCACAAGCGGUGGAGCAUGUGGUUUAAUUCGAUAUACGCGAAGAACCUUACCUGGUCUUGACAUAGAAAGAACUUUCCAGAGAUGGAUUGGUGCCUGCUUGCAGGAGCUUUCAUACAGGUGCUGCACGGCUGUCGUCAGCUCGUGUCGUGAGAUGUUGGGUUAAGUCCCGCAACGAGCGCAACCCUCGUCGUUAGUUGCUAACAGUUCGGCUGAGAACUCUAACGAGACUGCCUACGCAAGUAGGAGGAAGGUGAGGACGACGUCAAGUCAUCAUGGCCCUUACGACCAGGGCUACACACGUGCUACAAUGGGGUAUACAAGGAGUAGCGAUACGGUGACGUGGAGCGAAUCUCAAAAAUGCCUCCCAGUUCGGAUAGUAGUCUGCAACUCGACUACUUGAAGUUGGAAUCGCUAGUAAUCGUAGAUCAGCUAUGCUACGGUGAAUACGUUCCCGGGUCUUGUACUCACCGCCCGUCACACCAUGGGAGUUGAAUUCAUUCGAAGCGGGGAUGCUAAAAUAGCCACCUUCCACAGUGGAUUUAGCGACUGGGGUGAAGUCGUAACAAGGUAACCGUAGGAGAACCUGCGGUUG
rnacentral:rRNA from 1 species